rnacentral:lncRNA from 1 species
UCAAUCAAGAUAGAACAUCUAUAUCCCCCUGCAGUACCUAUAGUCAAAAAAUACUUCGCCUCAACCAAUUAUUCUGGACAAAUUGCUUAGGUGCCACCAUGACACGGUGAACCACCAUGAGUGGGCCCACCUCAUCACAUGUAAUGUGGACAUCGUCAUUUUCCGACUCAUCCCGCUGUUCAGACUUAUCCUCAUUUGCCUCUGGAUUGGGUUCAUUUGAAUCGUCCUGGCGUCCUUGCUCAA